GCUGCGUGUGCCGGCUAUUCAGGACUAGCGCAGACUCCGGGCGCCCUCCCAUCCCACUCGUGCUGCUGCCCCGGGCACUCGCCUCCCGAGAAAAGUCGUGGGACCAUGUCGAAUAUGGGGAAGCCAUUAUUUUACUUGAAGUUUGCUGCAAAAGAACUUAAUAGGAAUGCCAAGAAACGUGAUAAAGAAGAAAAGGCUGAAAAGGCCAAGAUUAAAAGAGUCUCUGUCACCCAGGCUGGAGUGCAGUGGUGUGAUCUCAGUUCACUGCAGCCUCCGCCUCCCGGGUUCAAGCGAUUCUCCUGUCUCAACCUUCUGAGUAGCUGGGAUUACAGGCAACAAGUCCAUGUGAGGCAUAGUUAAGUCUGUGGGUGCUUCAUUGAGGAGUAGAACCUUGAAAAGACUUCUGCCUUGAUGAACAAAUUCGAACACCAGUUUGAAACACUGGAUAUUCAAACACAACAAAUGGAAGAUAAAAUGAGUAGCUCUACAACCCUAACAACACCACAACACCUAACAUGUGGUUAGUCAAAUGAGAAGAGAACUUGUUAUUACUACUUUGGAUGCUAAUAUAGAAAAAAAUAUGAUUUACAAAGUCGAUUAAGAAGAAAUCGACAGCUGUCCAUCAACAUUUUACCACAAACAGCUCUUUUCACAAAAAG